UGGCUCAGUGGUUAAGAGCACUGGCUGCUCUUCCAGAGGACCUGGGUUCAAAUCCCAG
rnacentral:tRNA from 1 species